rnacentral:rRNA from 1 species
GAUGAACGCUGGCGGCGUGCCUAAUACAUGCAAGUCGAGCGAACAGAUAAGGAGCUUGCUCCUUUGACGUUAGCGGCGGACGGGUGAGUAACACGUGGGUAACCUACCUAUAAGACUGGAAUAACUCCGGGAAACCGGGGCUAAUGCCGGAUAACAUUUAGAACCGCAUGGUUCUAAAGUGAAAGAUGGUUUUGCUAUCACUUAUAGAUGGACCCGCGCCGUAUUAGCUAGUUGGUAAGGUAACGGCUUACCAAGGCAACGAUACGUAGCCGACCUGAGAGGGUGAUCGGCCACACUGGAACUGAGACACGGUCCAGACUCCUACGGGAGGCAGCAGUAGGGAAUCUUCCUCAAUGGGCGAAAGCCUGACGGAGCAACGCCGCGUGAGUGAUGAAGGUCUUCGGAUCGUAAAACUCUGUUAUUAGGGAAUAACAAAUGUGUAAGUAACUGUGCACGUCUUGACGGUACCUAAUCAGAAAGCCACGGCUAACUACGUG